UGGGGAAUCUUCCGCAAUGGACGAAAGUCUGACGGAGCAACGCCGCGUGGGUGACGAAGGUUUUCGGAUCGUAAAACCCUGUCAAGAAGGAAGAAAAAAGACGGUACUUCUGAAGGAAGCCCCGGCUAACUACGUGCCAGCAGCCGCGGUAAUACGUAGGGGGCAAGCGUUGUCCGGAAUUACUGGGCGUAAAGAGCACGUAGGCGGUAACCUAAGUCAGAUGUGAAAGACCAGGGCUUAACCGGGACACUGCCAUUGAAACUGUCGAUCUAGAGUGUACAAGAGGUAAGCGGAAUGCGUGGUGUAGCGGUGAAAUGCAUAGAUAUCACGCAGAACCCCGAUUGCGAAGGCAGCUUACUGGUGUACAACUGACGCUGAGGCACGAAAGCGUGGGUAUCAAACA
rnacentral:rRNA from 1 species